rnacentral:lncRNA from 1 species
CAAAAGCAGUGUUGGCUCGUAAGCUUUCUUCGUGCUCUCCAAGCAAGUUUGAGAAAUUUUAUUUUUUAGCAAUCAACAGUGAUGGCUUCAUCUCUAGCUCUCAAGAGGCUCCUCUCAUGCAACAUCCUCCCUAGCUCCUUGCGGGUGGUCCGCCCAAUGGCCAUCGCUCCAUCCUCCUCCAGGCUCUUUAACACCAAUGCCAUGCGUGAGUUCGACGACGAUGGUGAUGAGCGUGACCUCAGUGAUGAACGCCAGCGUUCACUUUCUCGCCGCGGUGACGGUUUCUUCACAGGUAGUUGCUCAUCGUUCUGUGUUCCAUUUUGAGUUCUUUCUUCUUCUCCUUCUUUUUUUCCCUUCUGGGUAUCGAAAAUUGAUGCUGAUUUCGGCCUUUUUCAUGUGCAGAGGUGUUCGAUCCUUUUGCUCCAACAAGGAGCCUGAGCCAAGUCCUGAACAUGAUGGAUCAGUUCAUGGAGAGCCCAUUUCUCUCCGCUUCCCGUGGCAUGGGGGGUGGUCUCCGCCGAAGCUGGGACGCUAAGGAAACGGAGGAUGCCUUGAACCUUAGGAUUGAUAUGCCAGGGCUUGGGAAAGAGGAUGUCAAAGUGUCUGUGGAACAGAACACUCUGGUGAUCAAAGGCGAGGCCGAAGAAUCCAAAGAGGAGGAAAAUGGCGGGAGGUACACCAGCAGGAUCC